rnacentral:rRNA from 1 species
GACAAACGCUGGCGGCAUGCCUAAUACAUGCAAGUCGAGCGGACUUGAAGAGAAGCUUGCUUCUCUGAUGGUUAGCGGCGGACGGGUGAGUAACACGUAGGCAACCUGCCCUCAAGUUUGGGACAACUACCGGAAACGGUAGCUAAUACCGAAUAGUUGUUUUCUUCGCCUGAAGAGAACUGGAAAGACGGAGCAAUCUGUCACUUGGGGAUGGGCCUGCGGCGCAUUAGCUAGUUGGUGAGGUAACGGCUCACCAAGGCGACGAUGCGUAGCCGACCUGAGAGGGUGAUCGGCCACACUGGGACUGAGACACGGCCCAGACUCCUACGGGAGGCAGCAGUAGGGAAUCUUCCGCAAUGGGCGAAAGCCUGACGGAGCAAUGCCGCGUGAGUGAUGAAGGUUUUCGGAUCGUAAAGCUCUGUUGCCAGGGAAGAACGCUUGGGAGAGUAACUGCUCUCAAGGUGACGGUACCUGAGAAGAAAGCCCCGGCUAACUACGUGCCAGCAGCCGCGGUAAUACGUAGGGGGCAAGCGUUGUCCGGAAUUAUUGGGCGUAAAGCGCGCGCAGGCGGUCAUUUAAGUCUGGUGUUUAAUCCCGGGGCUCAACCCCGGAUCGCACUGGAAACUGGGUGACUUGAGUGCAAAAAAGGAGAGUGGAAUUCCACGUGUAGCGGU